UACGUAGGGUGCGAGCGUUAAUCGGAAUUACUGGGCGUAAAGCGUGCGCAGGCGGUUUUGUAAGCCAGAUGUGAAAUCCCCGGGCUUAACCUGGGAAUGGCAUUUGGGACUGCAAGGCUGGAGUGUGGCAGAGGAGACUGGAAUUCCUGGUGUAGCAGUGAAAUGCGUAGAUAUCAGGAGGAAUACCGAUGGCGAAGGCAGGUCUCUGGGCUGACACUGACGCUCAUGCACGAAAGCGUGGGGAUCAAACAGG
rnacentral:rRNA from 1 species